ACUAGCAGGAUCUCUGGCGUUGGGAAGAGUCCCUGUUACCCCUUUUUUCCCUUUUUACCGAAUAAAACCCUGCCUUACUCACCCUUCAGGUCAUCUACAAUCCUAACUUUUCAUGGCUCUGAGACAAAGACUCCGUCUUUUGGUGAACUAAGGAAAUGUCCUGCAACAUUUUUGGCACACAGCAUAGGACUUGAGAAGUGGAAAACUUCUGUUGGUGUGGGUGCCUUGUCUGGUGGGAUAAAGAAGGCCAUCAUACCUAAGGUGACUGAAUUCCCAAUUAUUAUGUCUGUAUCAAGCCAUUGUUUUUAUCCUUAACCAUUUGAAGG
rnacentral:lncRNA from 1 species